rnacentral:rRNA from 1 species
AUUGAACGCUGGCGGCAUGCCUACACAUGCAAGUCGAACGGCAGCACGGGAGCAAUCCUGGUGGCGAGUGGCGAACGGGUGAGUAAUAUAUCGGAACGUGCCCGGUCGUGGGGGAUAACGUAGCGAAAGCUACGCUAAUACCGCAUACGAUCUACGGAUGAAAGCGGGGGAUCGCAAGACCUCGCGCGAUUGGAGCGGCCGAUAUCAGAUUAGGUAGUUGGUGAGGUAAAGGCUCACCAAGCCGACGAUCUGUAGCUGGUCUGAGAGGACGACCAGCCACACUGGGACUGAGACACGGCCCAGACUCCUACGGGAGGCAGCAGUGGGGAAUUUUGGACAAUGGGCGCAAGCCUGAUCCAGCAAUGCCGCGUGCAGGAUGAAGGCCUUCGGGUUGUAAACUGCUUUUGUACGGAACGAAACGGUGAGCUCUAAUACAGUUUGCUAAUGACGGUACCGUAAGAAUAAGCACCGGCUAACUACGUG